UUUGGCACACAAAGGCCCCUCGCAAAGUCUCGCGGCAUUCCGAGUACGGCGGACGAAGUGGGCCAGCCCCACCCCCCAAGGCUAUAGUCCACCCGUUUUUGUGGCCUUUUUCCGCUGGUCGAACUUACCGCCCCGGCCUUCGGGCGGUUAUUUUUGGGCGCGGCUUUGCCCGCGGCCUAUUUUUGGCACACGGACGCCCCUCGCAAAUUCUCACGGCAUUCCGAGUCCGGCGGACGAAGUAGGCCAGCCCCACCCCCCAAGGCUAUAGCCCACCCGUUUUUGUGGCCUUUUUCCGCUGGACGAACUUGGCGCCCCGGCCUUCAGGCGGUAAUUUUUGGGUGCGGCUUUGCCCGCAGCCUAUUUUUGGCACACGGAGACCCCUCGCAAAGUCUUGCGGCAUUCCGAGUACGGCGGACGAAUUUGGCCAGCCCCCCGCCCCAAGGCUAUAGCCCACCCGUUUUUGUGGCCGUUUUCCGCUGGAUGAACUUGGCACACCUGCCUUCGGGCGGUUAUUUUUGGGUGCGGCUUUGCCCGCGGCCUAUUUUUGGCACACGGAGGCCCCUCGCAAAGUCUUACGGCAUUCCGAGUCCGGCGUACGAAGUUGGCCAGCCCCACCCCCCAAGGCUAUAGCACGUUUUUAUGGCCUUUUUCCGCUGGACGAACUUGGCGCCCCGGUCUUCGGGCGGUUAUUUUUGGGCACGGCUUUGUCCGCGGCCUAUUUUUGGCACAUGGAGGCCCCUCGUAAAGUCUCGCGGCAUACCGAGUCCGGCGGACAAAGUUGGCCAGCCCCACCCCACCAGGCUAUAGCCCACCCGUUUUUGUGGCCUUUUUCCGCUGGACGAACUUGGCGCCCCGACCUUCGGGCGGUUAUUUUUGGGCGCGACUAUGCCCGCGGCCUAUUUUUGGCACACGGAGGCCCCUCGCAAAUUAUCGCGGCAUUCCGAGUC
rnacentral:lncRNA from 1 species